GAUGAAGAACGUAGCGAAAUGCGAUACGUAAUGUGAAUUGCAAAUUCAGUGAAUCAUCGAGUCUUUGAACGCACAUUGCCCCCCCUGGUAUUCCGGGGGGCAUGCCUGUCCGAGCGUCAUUGCUGCCCUCAAGCACGGCUUGUGUGUUGGGCCCCGUCCUCCGAUCCCGGGGGACGGGCCCGAAAGGCAGCGGCGGCACCGCGUCCGGUCCUCGAGCGUAUGGGGCUUUGUCACCCGCUCUGUAGGCCCGGCCGGCGCUUGCCGAUCAACCCAAAUUUUUAUCCAGGUUGACCUCGGAUCAGGUAGGGAUACCCGCUGAACUUAAGCAUAUCAAUAAGCGGAGGA
rnacentral:misc_RNA from 1 species